rnacentral:rRNA from 1 species
UACAGAGGGUGCAAGCGUUGUUCGGAAUUAUUGGGCGUAAAGGGCGCGUAGGCGGUGCGUAAGUCAUGUAUGUAAUCAUGGCUGCACUCAGAGUCUGCUGCAGAAACUGCCGUGCUUGAGUGUGGGAGAGGUGAGUGGAAUUCCCGGUGUAGCGGUGAAAUGCGUAGAGAUCGGGAAGAAUACCUGUGGCGAAGGCGGCCAGCUGGGCCAGGUCCGACACUGAGGCGCGAAAGCGUGGGGAGCAAACAGG